rnacentral:rRNA from 1 species
UGCAAGUCGUGCGAGAAAGUAUCUUCGGAUAUGAGUAGAGCGGCGGACGGGUGAGUAACGCGUAGGAAUCUACCUAGUAGAAGGGGAUAGCCCGGGGAAACCCGGAUUAAUACCGUAUACCUCCUUCGGGAGAAAGAAGGCCUCUCUUUGAAGCUUUCGCUAUUAGAUGAGCCUGCGUAAGAUUAGCUUGUUGGUGAGGUAAAGGCUCACCAAGGCUACGAUCUUUAGCUGGUCUGAGAGGACGAUCAGCCACAUUGGGACUGAGACACGGCCCAGACUCCUACGGGAGGCAGCAGUGGGGAAUAUUGGACAAUGGGCGCAAGCCUGAUCCAGCCAUACCGCGUGUGUGAAGAAGGCCUUCGGGUUGUAAAGCACUUUAAGCAGGGAGAAAAAGUUAUAAGUUAAUACCUUAUAACCGUGAUGUUACCUGCAGAAUAAGCACCGGCUAAUUCCGUGCCAGCAGCCGCGGUAAUACGGAAGGUGCAAGCGUUAAUCGGAAUUACUGGGCGUAAAGCGCGCGUAGGUGGUUUGUUAAGUUGGAUGUGAAAGCCCUGGGCUCAACCUAGGAACUGCAUCCAAAACUAACUCACUAGAGUACGAUAGAGGGAGGUAGAAUUCAUAGUGUAGCGGUGGAAUGCGUAGAUAUUAUGAAGAAUACCAGUGGCGAAGGCGGCCUCCUGGAUCUGUACUGACACUGAGGUGCGAAAGCGUGGGUAGCGAACAGGAUUAGAUACCCUGGUAGUCCACGCCGUAAACGAUGACAACUAGCUGUUGGGAGACAAUGUCUUUCAGUGGCGCAGCUAACGUUUUAAGUUGUCCGCCUGGGGAGUACGGCCGCAAGGCUAAAACUCAAAUGAAUUGACGGGGACCCGCACAAGCGGUGGAGCAUGUGGUUUAAUUCGAUGCAACGCGAAAAACCUUACCUACUCUUGACAUAUUUGGAAGCUCUUGUAAUGAGAGUGUGCCUUUGGAACCAAGAUAC